AACGAACGCUGGCGGCAUGCCUAACACAUGCAAGUCGAACGAGACCUUCGGGUCUAGUGGCGCACGGGUGCGUAACGCGUGGGAACCUGCCCUUAGGUUCGGAAUAACUCCCCGAAAGGGGUGCUAAUACCGGAUAAUGUCUUCGGACCAAAGAUUUAUCGCCUUUGGAUGGGCCCGCGUUGGAUUAGCUAGUUGGUAGGGUAAAAGCCUACCAAGGCGACGAUCCAUAGCUGGUCCGAGAGGAUGAUCAGCCACACUGGGACUGAGACACGGCCCAGACUCCUACGGGAGGCAGCAGUGGGGAAUAUUGGACAAUGGGCGAAGGCCUGAUCCAGCAAUGCCGCGUGAGUGAUGAAGGCCUUAGGGUUGUAAAGCUCUUUUACCCGGGAUGAUAAUGACAGUACCGGGAGAAUAAGCUCCGGCUAACUCCGUG
rnacentral:rRNA from 1 species